GACGAACGCUGGCGGCGUGCUUAACACAUGCAAGUCGAACGGAAAGGCCCUGCUUUUGUGGGGUGCUCGAGUGGCGAACGGGUGAGUAACACGUGAGUAACCUGCCCUUGACUUUGGGAUAACUUCAGGAAACUGGGGCUAAUACCGGAUAGGAGCUCCUGCUGCAUGUUGGGGGUUGGAAAGUUUCGGCGGUUGGGGAUGGACUCGCGGGUUAUCAGCUUGUUGGUGGGGUAGUGGCUUACCAAGGCUUUGACGGGUAGCCGGCCUGAGAGGGUGACCGGCCACAUUGGGACUGAGAUACGGCCCAGACUCCUACGGGAGGCAGCAGUGGGGAAUAUUGCACAAUGGGCGGAAGCCUGAUGCAGCAACGCCGCGUGCGGGAUGACGGCCUUCGGGUUGUAAACCGCUUUCGCCUGUGACGAAGCGUGAGUGACGGUAAUGGGUAAAGAAGCACCGGCUAACUACGUG
rnacentral:rRNA from 1 species